rnacentral:rRNA from 1 species
UACGGGGGGGGCAAGCGUUGUUCGGAAUUACUGGGCGUAAAGAGCUCGUAGGCGGUCUGUCGCGUCGGUCGUGAAAACUUGGGGCUUAACCCUGAGCUUGCGGUCGAUACGGGCAUGACUGGAGUUCGGUAGGGGAGACUGGAAUUCCUGGUGUAGCGGUGAAAUGCGCAGAUAUCAGGAGGAACACCGGUGGCGAAGGCGGGUCUCUGGGCCGAUACUGACGCUGAGGAGCGAAAGCGCGGGGAGCGAACAGG